GGGUGCUGACGGUGGGGGUUAAG
rnacentral:piRNA from 1 species